UACGUAGGUGGCAAGCGUUAUCCGGAUUUACUGGGUGUAAAGGGCAUGUAGGCGGGAAAGCAAGUCAGAUGUGAAAACCACGGGCUCAACCUGUGGCCUGCAUUUGAAACUGUUUUUCUUGAGUACUGGAGAGGCAGACGGAAUUCCUCGUGUAGCGGUGAAAUGCGUAGAUAUGAGGAGGAACACCAGUGGCGAAGGCGGUCUGCUGGACAGCAACUGACGCUGAGGCGCGAAAGCGUGGGGAGCAAACAGG
rnacentral:rRNA from 1 species